CCAGACUCCUACGGGAGGCAGCAGUGGGGGAUAUUGCACAAUGGGGGGAACCCUGAUGCAGCGACGCCGCGUGGGUGAAGAAGUAUUUCGGUAUGUAAAGCCCUAUCGGCAGGGAAGAAAUUGGACGGUACCUGACUAAGAAGCCCCGGCUAACUACGUGCCAGCAGCCGCGGUAAUACGUAGGGGGCAAGCGUUAUCCGGAUUCACUGGGUGUAAAGGGAGCGUAGACGGCCAUGCAAGCCUGGAGUGAAAGCCCGGGGCCCAACCCCGGGACUGCUCUGGGAACUGUGCGGCUAGAGUGCGGGAGGGGCAGGCGGAAUUCCUGGUGUAGCGGUGAAAUGCGUAGAUAUCAGGAGGAACACCGGCGGCGAAGGCGGCCUGCUGGACCGCGACUGACGUUGAGGCUCGAAAGCGUGGGGAGCAAACAGGAUUAGAUACCCCUGUA
rnacentral:rRNA from 1 species